rnacentral:rRNA from 1 species
UGGGGAAUUUUCCGCAAUGGGCGAAAGCCUGACGGAGCAACGCCGCGUGAGGGAGGAAGGCCUUAGGGUUGUAAACCUCUUUUCUCUGGGAAGAAGAUCUGACGGUACUAGAGGAAUCAGCAUCGGCUAACUCCGUGCCAGCAGCCGCGGUAAUACGGAGGAUGCAAGCGUUAUUCGGAAUUAUUGGGCGUAAAGCGUCCGCAGGCGGUUAUUUAAGUCUGUUGUCAAAGCCCACAGCUCAACUGUGGAUCGGCAAUGGAAACUGGAUGACUUGAGUGUGGUAGGGGUAGAGGGAAUUCCCGGUGUAGCGGUGAAAUGCGUAGAUAUCGGGAAGAACACCAGUGGCGAAGGCGCUCUACUGGGCCACAACUGACGCUGAGGGACGAAAGCUAGGGGAGCGAAAGGGAUUAGAUACCCCUGUAGUCCUAGCUGUAAGCGAUGGAUACUAGGUGUUGGACGUAUCGACCCGUGCAGUACCGUAGCUAACGCGUUAAGUAUCCCGCCUGGGGAGUACGCACGCAAGUGUG